GAUGAACGCUGGCGGCGUGCCUAAUACAUGCAAGUCGAGCGAACGGACGAGAAGCUUGCUUCUCUGAUGUUAGCGGCGGACGGGUGAGUAACACGUGGAUAACCUACCUAUAAGACUGGUAUAACUUCGGGAAACCGGAGCUAAUACCGGAUAAUAUUUUGAACCGCAUGGUUCAAAAGUGAAAGACGGUCUUUCUGUCACUUAUAGAUGGAUCCGCGCUGCAUUAGCUAGUUGGUAAGGUAACGGCUUACCAAGGCAACGAUGCCUAGCCGACCUGAGAGGGGGAUCGGCCACACUGGAACUGAGACAGGGUCAAGGCUCCUAAGGGAGGCAGCAGUAGGGAAUCUUACGCAAUGGGCGAAAGCCUGACGGAGCAACGGCGCGUGAGUGAUGAAGGUCUUCGGAGCGUAAAAAUCUGUUAUUAGGGAAGAACAUAUGUGGAAGUAACUGUGCACAUAGUGACGGUACCUAAUCAGAAAGCAACGGCUAACUACGUG
rnacentral:rRNA from 1 species